CUGUAAUACACAUUUAAAGGCAUAAGAAGACAACAUCCUGUAUAGGGGGUUUUGAAGACAGAUUCCAAAUGUUUACAACAAAGAAUGCCAAAUGAUAGCAACAGAUCGCACAGCCUUUACACAAGAUGCAAUAAAGAUUUUUUUUAUUGGAGCUAAUGUGUCAUAUUCCUGAAAAGGCAGAUUGUCUUAUCAAAGACAUAUUGCAAAGUGACGAAAAAGCUCACACUCCUGUAGGCCACCUGUGAGCUAAAACAGGAGCAUGAAGUUAAUGUCUAUUUUUUGUGUAUUAUAUCCAGCUCAUUUCAAAAAAAUAUUUCAUAAUGAUAAAAAUUUGUGUUCAAUAAAUUUGUCAAGUAAAAGCUAGAACAAAAUAAACUUACCAUCAGCAG